GUGGCUGAUCAUCCGGUCUGUGACGCCAGGGCAGAUGUCUUCAGCCACAUGCAGGCUCUUCUCCAGCUGCUCCAGAACUCUCGCCGAGUCGUCGUCACCGUGCUGCGAUUUCAGCUACAACACAAAGGCCACGCCAACUCAUCUUCCUUAAAUAGGACCGUAUGCGACCCUGGACCACAAAACCAGCCAUGGGGAUCGAUUUUUAAAAAAAAAUUGGGUCACAUAUGAGAAGACAAGCUGCCCUACCUCUGAAAAAACCGGAGCCAUGACGGUGGUUAAACUGACCGACUUCUUCUGAAGUUCUUCAUCCUGAAGGGAGGAGAUGGAAAACACAACAC